rnacentral:rRNA from 1 species
UACGUAGGGUGCGAGCGUUAAUCGGAAUUACUGGGCGUAAAGCGUGCGCAGGCGGUUCGUUGUGUCGGCGGUGAAAGCCCCGGGCUUAACCUGGGAAUGGCCGUUGAAACUGGCGAACUGGAGUGUGGCAGAGGGGGGUGGAAUUCCGCGUGUAGCAGUGAAAUGCGUAGAGAUCCGGAAGAACACCGGUGGCGAAGGCGGCCUGCUGGGCAGUUGCUGACACUGAGGCGCGACAGCGUGGGGAGCAAACAGG